UACAGAGGGAGCUAGCGUUGUUCGGAAUUACUGGGCGUAAAGCGCGCGUAGGCCGCUUGCCAAGUCAGAUGUGAAAGCCCGGGGCUUAACCCCGGAAUUGCAUUUGAAACUGGCGAGCUCGAGAAUGGUAGGGGAUAGGGGAAUUUCUAGUGUAGAGGUGAAAUUCGUAGAUAUUAGAAGGAACACCAGUGGCGAAGGCGCCUAUCUGGGCCAUUUCUGACGCUGAUGUGCGAAAGCGUGGGGAGCAAACAGG
rnacentral:rRNA from 1 species